CAAUGAUGUGUUUCAAUUCAACAUCCUUUGUGAUUGUGAAGGCGUGAUGCAACCCCUGUGGGAACUGAUC
rnacentral:snoRNA from 1 species